GAUGAACGCUGGCGGCGUGCCUAAUACAUGCAAGUAGAACGCUGAAGGAGGAGCUUGCUCUUCUGGAUGAGUUGCGCACGGGUGAGUAACGCGUAGGUAACCUGCCUGGUAGCGGGGGAUAACUAUUGGAAACGAUAGCUAAUACCGCAUGACAACAGUUAUUGCAUGAUAACUGUUUAAAAGGGGCAACUGCUCCACUACCAGAUGGUCCUGCGUUGUAUUAGCUAGUUGGGGAGGUAACGGCUCACCAAGGCGACGAUACAUAGCCGACCUGAGAGGGUGGUCGGCCACACUGGGACUGAGACACGGCCCAGACGCCUACGGGAGGCAGCAGUAGGGAAUCUUCGGCAAUAGACGGAAGUCUGACCGAGCAACGCCGCGUGAGUGAAGAAGGGUUUCGGAUCGUAAAGCUCGGUUGUAAGAGAAGAACGAGUGUGAGAGUGGAAAGUUCACACUGUGACGGUAUCUUAACAGAAAGGGACGGCUAACUACGUG
rnacentral:rRNA from 1 species